UCCAAGGUAGCUCAAUGGUGGAGCACUCGGCUGUUAACCGAUAGGUUGAGGGUUCGAGUCCCUCCCUUGGAGCCA
rnacentral:tRNA from 1 species